rnacentral:ncRNA from 1 species
UUCCACUAGGGGUGCGUUUUGCUGAGAAGGAUAAAUCCUGACCCUCGGACCUGAUCUGGGUAAUACCAGCGUAGGGAAGUGGCG